GGGCCGUCAGCAGUUUUUGUUAGUCAGUAGAUACACCGGAGAACUCCCAGGUUUCAGCUCUCCGAUGGAUCCCCUUUCUGCCCUGAGGGACUUCACCAUUCGAGGCGAGUUGGAGAAGAUAGUUCGGUUCGGCGGCGAGUUCCGAUUCGGUAAUGAAUACUCUUUUCCUUGCAACGUCGAGACUGCUUACCGCUCAACCAAGGGCAACCGUUACACCCUCGAAACCCUAGUUCAUUACAUCAAGAAUCACCAUCUUAAGCACACCGAUUACAUCCAGAACACCGUCUCCCUUGGAAUCCCUUCCGUUACAUUUCCAGACCGAAAACCCCUCCUCGAAUAUCUUCAGGGUAAGAUAUCCUCCACCGAUUCCAUCGAGUACCGUCCCGAAGAGCCUGCAUUUGCUCCGAAUCGUGUCAGCACCGACUUCGCAGCUGUGCCGGAUGACAAGAAAUUGGAUUUCAUGUCGAUGAUUAGGGCGGCUGAAAGACCGUUGAAGGACCGUGAGGCCUUGCUGGAAUGCAAAAAUAGGGAUUUCUACAGCGUUUUGGUUGCAGCGACGAAGCGCGAAGAGGAGAGGCAGAGGAUCGAAUCGCAGCAGAGAAAAGACGGGCUUGUUGCUAAGAGUCGGUUGAUGGGGGCGGAUGAGCGGGGUUUAGGGUUUGGAGAUGACCUAGGGUACGAUUCUACUCCAAAACCCAAAAUGCACUUGAAGGGUAGCAAAAUAGGGGAAGGAGUGCCGAUAAUUUUGGUGCCCAGUGCAUUUCAGACGCUGAUUACCAUCUACAAUGUGAAGGAGUUUUUGGAGGAUGGGGUUUAUAUACCGACUGACGUCAAGGUGAAGCAGAUGAAGGGGGCAAGGCCAGAUUGCGUGACGGUGCAGAAGAAGCUUAGCAGGGACAGGGUGGUCACUGCUUAUGAAGUGAGGGACAAGCCCUCUACACUCAAAGCGGAGGACUGGGAUCGGGUGGUUGCAGUUUUUGUGUUGGGCAAAGAAUGGCAGUUUAAGGACUGGCCUUUCAAAGACCACGUUGAAAUAUUCAACAAGAUUAUUGGAUUUUAUAUGCGUUUUGAAGAUGACAGUUUGGAGUCAGCAAAGAAUGUAAAGCAGUGGAAUGUAAAGAUAAUUUCGAUAAGUAAGAACAAACGACACCAAGACAGGGCUGCAGCAUUGGAGGUGUGGGAUAGACUAGAAGAAUUUGUUCGUUCAAGAACACAUUCUUGAUGUGUAACUUCUCAAGGGAUCGUAACUUUUGUUAUCAAGCUGCUUGUUCUGAGUAUUGAAUAUGACAAAUUUUUGGGAUGACUGAAAUCUGCUGGUGCUGUUAUGGCUGUUCGAGGGAAGGCGACGAAUGCUCAUAUGCGGUUUACUAGAACAAGUGUUGUAGGAAUGGGGACUUUACUUUCCAGUUUACACACUAACCCACCAAAUCAAAUGGAGCGGGUGAAAAGAGACAUAAUUCAAUGAGAGCAAAAGAUGAGGGAGAAGUUUUAUCAUUGCUACUGGGUUAUUUUAGUUAUAUGGUUUAUACUGAACUUCACUUGUUCAUGUUGCUGCUCUGAAGUGCUUCCAGUCCCUUCAUGUAUAUGAUCUAAAUGGAGUGAAAUAUAGUUCUCUGAGGAACUCUUGAAUUUGUUUUUCUGUAAUUUUUUGUUAAUCUAUCAGAAGUACUAGGCUGUAGGAAAACCUUUUGUUUGAUUUGAUAGGAUUAAAUCGGAACUUGCCACAAUAGGAUUAUAUUCUUCCAAAGGAAACAAGCGCUAGGAAUCUACAGGCAUUUGUUGUAAAAUGCUUUACUGAGUUAUGCCAAAAAGUUCGGGACUUGUUUUAUUUAAA